UCAAAAUAUUUAUAAUUAUACUCUAUUUCAUAUAUGCAAGGCAAAAGGGUUAAAAAAAAACCCUAAACUUAUGCCUGCAGAAUUAUUAUGUCCCUAAACUAUGACUCGGUAUGACUCAGCUCCAGUACUUUUUUAAUUGGGUUAAUUAAACCCUCUUUACCGAGUCAGUCUAUUUUUUACUCAGCACCGUUUGUCAUCUAUUAACUCCGUUAAAUACCGUUGGACCCUAUUUAAUACUGUCAACAGUUCUUCCCCAAUUCCAUAAAUCGUUGUUGCCAAUAUAAACCCUAAUUUUCUACCUAAAUCAAAUUAACCUAGAUUCAUACAAUCAAUUAAAAAACCAAAGCCUACAACAAAAGCAAAUGGCUUCUUCAUCUUCAAUUUCAAGAGCAGCAUCUUCAAGGGCUAGAGACAUGGAAGUUGGUGAUUGUGAUUAUGUACCUCGGCCAAUAAUUUGUAAUUGUGGGGAAGAGACUUUGAUAUACACUGCUUGGACGGAAAAAAAAUUACGGUAGGAGGUUUUAUGGUUGCCGAAACUAUCAGGUUGGAGGAUGUGAUGUGUUCAAGUGGAUUGAUCCUGUCAUGCCUCAAAGAGCUAGGGUAGUUAUUCAUGAGCUGAAUAUGGAAAAAAAUCAACUGAUGAGGCAGAAUAGUAGGCUUGUGAAGUUAUAAAGAGAUGCACAAGAUGGAACAAUGAUUCAUGAGUUAAGUGAGGAGGUGGAAAAGAUUGGUAAAGAGAAGAAGAAAUUGGAAGAAAUUUUGAGUCCAAUGUCUAAGAAAAAGAAUGUGUACAAAUGGACAUGUUUCAUUGCUUUGUUUUGUUUAGUUUAGCUUACUGAAUUUGCUUGCUCAGUUUGAAAGCAAUUGGUAAGAAAAAAUAUGUAUGUUGUGUUUUGUUUGAAUAUGAAAUGAGAUUGAUUGUGUUGCAUUA